rnacentral:rRNA from 1 species
GACGAACGCUGGCGGCGUGCUUAACACAUGCAAGUCGAGCGGAAAGGCCCUUCGCUUUACUCUAGCGGCGAACGGGUGGGUGACACGUUAGUAACUUGCCCUAGUCUCUGUGAUAACCCGCUGAAACGGGGGCUAAUACCGUAUACCCCUUCUAUAUCUCAAGAUUUGGUUGGCAAAGUUUUUCGGCAUGUGUUGGACUCGUGGUCUAUCAGCUUGUUGGUGGUGUAAUGGCAUACCAAGUCGCGGAUGGGUAGGCGGCCUGUGAGUGCGACCGGCGACACUGGGCCUGCGAGACGGAGCAGACUCGUACGGGAGGCAGCAGUCGGGAAUCUUGCAGAGUGGGGGGACGCCUGAUGCAGAGAUGCCCCGUGCGGGAUGAUCGCCUUCGGGUUGUAAACCACUUUCAGCAGGGCCGAAGCGUAAGUGACGGUACCUGCAGAAGAAGCGACGGCCAACUACGUG